UACGGGGGGGGCAAGCGUUGUUCGGAAUUACUGGGCGUAAAGGGCUCGUAGGCGGCCAACUAAGUCAGACGUGAAAUCCCCAGGCUCAACCUGGGAACUGCGUCUGAUACUGGAUGGCUUGAAUUCGGGAGAGGGAUGCAGAAUUCCAGGUGUAGCGGUGAAAUGCGUAGAUAUCUGGAGGAAUACCGGUGGCGAAGGUGGCGUCCUGGACCGACAUUGACGCUGAUGAGCGAAAGCUAGGGGAGCAAACGGG
rnacentral:rRNA from 1 species